AGGGGGUCCAGUCAGUGGUUUUGUAUAUGUUCUGAUGGCAGCCCGGAUCACCUAAUCCUCUCCCACCUGCAUUAAGAUUGCUGCAUGCAGUGAUUUGCUGAGCCACGGUAUGUGCAGCGCGUAGGUUGGCUCUCAGUCUCUGAGUAGGAAAUGGAGCUCAGUCUAUAUUUGUCCAAUAUGGACAAAUUGAUAUCAGGCAGCCGGAUUGAGAAAUCC